ensembl:lncRNA
CAAGUUGAGACAGGGCCUCUUGACUCAAGCGAAGAAACAUUUGGCCAAAUAUUACGACAAACAAGCCUAUUGGUCAGAAAAUGUUGUUCAGCAUUCUCGCAAUUCAUAACCACUGUGUUUAGAUAGAUCCUCAUUUCCAAUUCUGUAGUACAAAUAGUUCCACCUUAGAAUUUGUCAGUGUUGCUAUACAUUGAAAACGUGAAGAAUUAUGACACUAAAUUGUGAGUCAGAUGUGCCACCUUCGGAUUAAAACAAAUUUGAAUCGGAACUUCACUUAUAUUAGUCCGCUCAGCACUUACCUCUUCUCUUUGGUCAACAAAUCAACAAAUCCAAUGAAGAAAUAAACAUUCUACUAAAAGGGUAUACUUCAUAGCUCACAAGAAACCAACAACACACACCACACAUCAUUUUCAACUGCAAUAAAACUUUAUAGAAACAGAAUUCUUUGGAACAUGGUGAUGAUAAAUUAACAUUUGCCUAACUAGAAUAACAAGUGGAUUAAUAUUAAUCUCCAGUUUAUACUGAGGGACAUAUUCUAUCAUCACACUAGCGUACUAGAUACUCUGGAUACUCCUAAGGGGUUGAAGCAGUCCAUCUUCAGGAAGAGAACACUGUUUGAGAAGCUCCACACCCCAGGGAUGAAAGUACUUUGAAAGCUUGUGGCUCCUGUUGGAUCUCAUAGGAAAAGUCUGUUCCAACAGUACUUCCGACAGUAGCUGCUGCUGCUCAUGCAGAACAGCCUGGAUCGGUGGGCGCUGGAUCAUUUCUGUCACCUGCCCUUUGUGGUUUGGGGUUGAAAGGGCAGUGGAGGUACUAGGAUGGCAGGCAGAGCAGACACUGGGAUGAUGCUGGCUGAUCCUCUCUGGUCCAUGGGAGGCCAUGAGGUCUCAAUAACGCUCCCGAUUGGUCUAAGGCACUGGUCCUGUAGGGUGGCACACAAUUGGCCCAGUGCCGUCCGGGUUAGGGUUUUGCUGGGGUAGGUCGUCAUUGUAAAUAAGAAUUUGUACUUAACUAACUUGCCUAUUUAAAUAAAGGUAUAUAAAUGAAAAUGAAUGUGUGUGUGCGCGACCCCCUACAACUGGCUUUGCUCCAUCUCUUCAGACAGAGACUCUUCGUCCAUCUCCAAGAUCGAGGGCAGUGAUGGAGUGACACACACUGGGAAGAAAGGCCCAGACUUAAAGUUAACGUCCCAGUGAAUUGGCUUCACUCUCUUCCUGCGCUCCCGUUGGCUAUUCUCCCAUUCCCGCUCAGCCUUGGCACGGGAUGCGGGCAUGUGCCACUGCUUGAUAGGAGGCUUGUCUUCCAGUGGGACCAAGGGGGUCAAGAGGAUUUCAAAGGGGCACUUCUCUCCUACUGGUCAGUAAAGGGGAGUGGUUGGUGCGACCUGUGUGG